UCUGCUUCAUUUCCAGUAGAAAUACAUGCUGUCACAUAUUAAUCUAUCAAAAUGCAGGGUUAGAAUUGGAGUUCCUACUCCAGUAAGAGCGCCUUGCCCUGGGUGACCCAGCGCCCUUGAGAAGGCAAUACGGGGGUUCGCUGACAAACCGGGCAGCAUUGUAAUUGUGCCAGCCCUGGGUAUGAGCUUCGAUACACUCGGGGUGGCCUAUGUGAAUGCCCCACCUGGAUUACAUUCUCUACUUGUGGGAGAAGGGAUUUGAAAUACGGCACGGGAAUAGUUGGUUGAAUGUGUUAAGAACAAAAUGCAUGCAGGAAAUUGUUUGUGGAUCUGCGGUACGCGUUUGUACCCUCCUGGAUUAUCUUCUAUUUAUUUGGUCUGCUUGUUGGGCGCAUACAGUGAAUGAUGAUGCUAAUUCUGCGAGUAACAGUGGGAACAGACUCGUUGGUUUGUUGGCGCCAAAGAAACGGAAAGAAAUGGGGUGCCCAACAACCAGCUGGGAGAAGGCACCGUACGAGGGGCUGAGCAAGUGGACGAGGUUCUGCAGCAUAUGUCGCAAGCAGGGCCACAAACGGACUACUUGCCCGGACCGUGGUGAUGCCCCGAAGCCUGUUCGGAAACCAGCAAGGUGCAAAAGUUGUGGAAUUGAAGGUCACAGGCGAAACAACUGCCACAAAGUGGGUGAUCUGCGGAUGACUGGCAUGUGAGCAGUUGCAGGACCCUGUCUGUCAAGACUAGAAAUAUGUAGAACUUAAUGUGUGCGGCUGUAGUUCCAUCAGUAGAACUCCUCUAGUGUCAUGCUUGUUGAGUGUGUUCGACUGCUGCUAUGCAUGGCAGAAUCAAAUAUGGAUUAUCAGAAAUAAUGUAUGCUUGAAUUGGUCUGAAUGUCAACGUAUUAGUAUUCGCACGAUGAGUGUGUUUUAUUUUUCUGAAUUUUUGUACACGCUGGUGAUGCAUUCUGAGUUUGUCGGCGCUAUGGUCAUGUGUAGAUUUGUAAAAAAAAUUGCAGUAUGUUGAUGCAUUUGAAGUUAUCAGGAAUGCAAUCUGAAUUUUUCUACUCUACAGACCACAAAGUCUGAUAUUCCUAGAAAUAUGGGAGUGCAUUCUGAAUUUGUCAGCGCUAUGCUCAUGUGUAGAAUUUUGAAAUAUUUUGCAAUAUGUUGAUGCAUUCUGAAAUUAUUCAUGAAUUGGAAAGUGUCUUGAUUUCUGAUUUUUUGUACAAUACAGACCACAAAGUCUGAAUUUUCCUAGAGAUAUGGGAGUGCAUUCUGAAUUUGUCAGCGCUAUGGUCAUGUGUAGAUUUAUUUUUUUGAGCAACUCAUGUGUAGAUUUCUGAUUUUCCUUUUGCAAUAUGUUGAUGCAUUCUGAAAUUAUUCAGGUAUUGGAAGUGUCUUGAUUUCUGAAUUUUUGAACAAUACAUACCACAAAGUCUGAAUUUUCCUAGAGAUAUGGGAGUGCAUUCUGAAUUUGUCAGCGCUAUGGUCAUGUGUAGAUUUCUGAUUUUCCUUUUGCAAUAUGUUGAUGCAUUCUCAAAUUAUCAGGAAUUGGGAAGUGUCUUGAUUUCUAAAAUUUUCCAGUGUAGACCACAAAGUCUGAAUUUUCCUAGAGAUCUGGGGUGCAUUCUGAAUUUCUGAAUAACCAAAAUGCACAUAAUCCGGAGCUCGUACCUACUGUACUUAACAGUAAACGAAAACUAGUGGAGACGCGUGUACAAGCGAUCCCGGGCGUGCAUGCAAAACAGAAAGGAAAGAAACUGAUUUAUUUUCCUGCUGAUUACAUUAGGCCCUGAGUACAAACGAUAGAUAACCCAUUUGAUGGUUACUACCACCUGAAACAACAAACAUUACUAGACCAACAAUCCUUUGUUUUCGUUAACACAGAAAAUGACAGUACAGACGAUAACAUUUUGUCAUCACUACGACGGGAGAACACAACUUAAUUAAUGCCCCGACAUGGAAUUUUGACUCGUCAACCCCCAACGCUAAUGCUAAAAACAGCCUGCAGUUUGAAGAUGCAGCUGAACCACAGCCUCUAGCAAACCAGGCGGCCGAGCACGAGCAGCAGCAUCCCCAGCCCAAUGAGUGCAACAAUUAGGAUCGCCCAAGCCAGUAAAACAGUUAGCCGUUGCAUCUCUGAGCAGCAACGACAAUGAUUGGCACCCCUCGCCAGCGUCGGCGCUGUGAACCUUGCCAACCCCGCCAUUGACCUCGUCGGCUGCCUGCUGCGACCAAACCCUAUUGCAGAUUUGUGCUGCCUGGCAAAGAUGGUUUUCCAGCCCGUUUUUUCCAGCGCAACUGGGCAGUGUUGAAGGAGGAAAUUGUGAAGGUGGUACAAGAAUUUUUUCUAUCUGAACAUAUGCUUCCCGGUGUCAAUAAUGAUACGGUAAUUGCUUUAAUUCCUAAAGUUAAAGAUCCAGUCUGACUUACUGAUUUUCGGCCAAUUAGUCUAUGCAAUGUCAUAUAUAAGAUUGUAGCCAAGUGCUUGAUUAACAGAUUGAGACCUAUUUUGGAUAAUAUUAUUUCACCAGAGCAGAGUGCAUUUGUGCUAGCAAGAUUAAUCACGGAUAAUGCAUUAUUGGUCUUCGAGUGUCUCCAUUACAUGCAGCAUGAGAAGAAUCAGGAGAGGAAUUUUUGUGCUUAUAAAUUAGACCUGUCUAAGGCCUAUGAUAGAGUAGAUUGGGGUUUCCUGCGACAAGCGAUGCAAAAGAUGGGCUUCGCUCACAAAGGUGACCCUUUGUCCCCGUUCUUGUUUCUGCUUGUGGCUGAUGGUCUCUCUGCGCUUCUCAGACAGGGUAUGAAGAGGCAUGUGAUUGAUCCGGUGAAAGUGUGCACCAACGCGCCGGGUAUAUCUCAUCUUUUAUUUGCGGACGACACACUUUUAUUUUUCAAAGCUAGCCAUGACCAAGCUGUUCAUAUCAAGGAAAUCAUAGCCACAUAUGCUAGCGCUACUGGCCAACUCAUUAAUCCACAAAAGUGUUCAAUUCAGUUUGGUGAGUGUUGUGCAGAUGUGGACAAAUAGGAGGUACGCGCUGUUUUGGAAAUCCAAGCUGAAAGUUUUGAAGAGAAAUACUUGGGUCUCCCUACACCGGAUGGCCGUAUGCAUAAGGGGAGAUUUCAGAACUUGCAAGCGCGACUGCGAAAGAGAAUCAUGCUUUGGGGUGACACCCUAUCAAUGGCGGGCAAGGAGACAAUGAUAAAAUCAGUUGGUCAGGCCCUUCCAACUUACAUAAUGGGUGUUUUUAAGCUGCCAUAUUCAGUUUGUGAUGAUCUUACGAGUUUGGUCAGAAACUUGUGGUGGGGGAAAAGGAAAGGCAAAAGGAAAGCCCAGUGGGUCGCAUGGGACAAGAUAUAACAGAACCAAAGAGCAGAGGAGGGCUGGGAUUUAGAGAUUUCCGUCUGUUCAACCAAGCAUUGCUUGCAAGACAAGCUUUGCGCCUACUUACAAAGCGAGACUCGCUUUGUGCGGGAGUGCUCAAAGCUAAAUAUUACCCUAAUUGCUCUCUAGUGGAUACUGUUUUUGCAGGUAAUGCGUCAUCUACAUGGCAUGCAAUCCAUCAUGGCCUAGACCUUCUCAAGAAGGGGCUGAUUUGGCGCAUUGGCAAUGGGGAAAGCGUCAGAAUAUGGCGAGACCCAUGGGUGCCUCGGCCACCUUCCUACCAGGUAUUACAAACCGCGCCAAUUGUCGCCUCAGGAGAGUGACACAGCUGAUCGACGCCCAGGGUCGCUGGGACCAGGGGCUGCUCCGCGCUCACUUUAUGCCUCUUGACGUCGAUGAGAUCAGCAAGAUAAAGCUGAGCCCGCAGCUGAUGGAGGACAUCAUCGCAUGGGCGCCAGAGGCCCGUGGGAUCUUCAGCGUAAGAAGCGCGUACAAGAUGGCCCUCGACGAAAAAAUCGCACAUCUAUAUGUGCAACGAGCAGGGCACCAGACGGCACCAGAGCCGUCUGGGACACGUUAUGGGGGUGCCCUGCUCCCCUCCCCCAAAGGUACGCGUACUGGCUUGGCGAGUGGUGAAAAACGCACUAGCUACUAUGGCAAAUUUGGCUAGAAGAAAUAUAUCUGAUACUGAUAUUUGCCGUUUGUGUGGUGUGGAACGAGAGGACACGUACCACGUCUUCUGCAGAUGCCCGAGAGCCAUAGAUCUUUGGUACGCCAUGGAGGAGUCCUGGAGCAUGCCAAAGCUGGACACCGUUGCUAAUACGGGACCGGAGUGGUUGCAGCACCUACUGGAACGGUGCAACGAGCAGGAGCGCCUUUCGCUGCUCAUGACGGUAUGGCGAAUAUGGCAUGUACAUAAUGAGAUUACCCACAAUAAGCCGGCGCCACCUACUGAAGCAUCUCGACAAUUCCUCUCGAGCUACAUGGACUCGCUGUUGUGCAUUAAACAACAUCCAAACGCGGACACUGCUAAAGGGAAGAUGGUGGUCAGCUAUGGUCAGGCGGAGAGGAAACAACAAGACCACAUCUCCCAUGCUGACAACCCAAGGCCCUCGGAGAGAUGGAGCGCACUGCCGGAGGGAUGGUGCAAACUAAAGGUUGAUGGUGCCUUCGUGGAAGCGGACAAGACAAGAGCUGCUGGUAUGAUUCUUCGUAAUUCUGAGGGAGAGGUGAUUUUUGCAUCUUGCCGCUAUUUGUCAUCAUGUGCGAGCGUGCUGGAGGCAGAACUUGCUGCUUGUCGGGAAGGGAUUUCACUCACACUUGAGUGGAGCACGCUACCUUUCAUCAUGGAGACGGACUGCACCAUGGCAUUGAGCAUGCUCAAGGGCAUAGAAGUUGAUAGAUCACCGGCUGCGGCAAUAGUGGAGGAAGCAAAACACUUGCUGAGCUUGGGACGACCACAUGAAAUAACACAUGUUAGGAGAGGUUUGAACUGUGUUAGUCAUGCACUUGCGCAACUAGGGAGGCAGCCUCGCACAGCAGUCUAGCUGCGCCAUGCCCCUGAACACAUCUUAGCCUUAUGUAAGCUAGAGUGUAAUGCUCAUGGUUGAUGAAUGAAGCUUUACAUUCGCAAAAAAAGAGAUUUGUGCUGCCUGGCGACGGGGAGAGAGAGUUGGGUACUGCUGCACACCGAAAUGGCGAUUCAGAUCAGGACGGUACGUCCGGUUCUAUCUGAUGCAUCCAUAAAGACCAACCUGCACCAAAAAAAUACAGAUCUGGAGCUGCUAACUACGAAACGGCUGCAAUAUGAUCCUAGAUCAUACUAGAGAAAGCACUCACAUUUUUCCUGGCGCACUUAUGGUAGCGGUCGCCGACGUUGUCGCCGCCCCGAGCAAUCCAGGUGAAGACCUGGCCGCCAUAGACAAGGCAGGGGAUGAGUGACAACAUCUCGUCGCCGACUCCAUUGGACGCGGAGGUGGACAUCAUGCAAGCUACCGCAAUCUUAGCUGGAGACGAUGGUUCGAACUGGUAGGGAAAUAGGCGAGAAGGAAUGGGGAUGAAUGAAUCUUGAUGGGGAAGAUUGGUAGGUUGGAUGGGGUGGUGUGCAGCAAUAAAUGGGAAUUGGGAAGCAACGGGCAUUGUCUCAGAAUCGGCAACAUAACUGUAACACCCACGAUGCGGCUAUAACUCCCACGUGUCGGAGCACGACUUAGAGGCAUAACCGCAUUGUAGGCAAUAUCGCAAGAGGGGUAAUCUUUACACAACCCAUGUACUGAAUAAGGAAAGAGGUACAUAGUUGGCUUACAAUCGCCACGUCACACAAUAGCAUAAACAUAACAUUACAUUCAUCCAGAUACAAUCAAGGUCCGACUACGGAACCAAAAUAAAGACAACCCCAAAUGCAUAAUGUCCCCGAUCGCCCCAACUGGGCUCCACUACUGUUCGUCUAGAAAGGAAACGUAGUAUCGUCCCGAGUCCUCAUCGAACUCCCACUUGAGCUCAGUCGAAUCUCCUGAAAUGGUAUCCGGUCCCUGCAUCUGGUUUUGAAGUAAACUGUGAGUCACGGGGACUCAGCAAUCUCACACCCUCGCGAUCAAGACUAUUUAAGCUUAUAGGUAAGGUAAAAGGUAUGAGGUAGAGCUGCAGCAAGCACUAGUAUAUAUGGUGGCUAACAUACGCAAAUGAGAGCGAGAAGAGAAAGGCAAGGCACGGUCGAGAAUCUAUGAUCAAGAAGUGAUCCUAGAACAACCUACGUUCAAGCAUAACACGAGACCGUGUUCUCUUCCCGAACUCCGCCGAAAAGAGACCAUCACGGCCACACACUCUGUUGAUUCAUUUUAAUUAAGUUAAGUUUCAGGUUUUCUACAACCGGGCAUUAACAAAUUCCCAUCUGCCCAUAACCACGGGCACGGCUUUCGAAAGUUCAAAUCCCUGCAGGGGUGUCCCAACUUAGCCCAUCACAACCUCUCACGGUCAACGAAUGAUAUUCCUUCUCCCAAGACAACCCGAUCAGACUCAGUAUCCCGGUUACAAGACAUCUCGACAAUGGUAAAAUUAAACCAGCAAAGCCACGCGAAUGUGCCGACAAAUCCCGAUAGGAGCUGCACAUAUCUCAUUCUCAGGGCACAUCGGAUAGGUCAUGCUAUGAGUAAAACCAACCCUCGAGUUGCCCCGAGGUGUCCCCGCAGGCUGCCCAUUUCGGACCAACACUCAGAGGAGCACUGGCCCGGGGGGUUUAAAAUAAAGAUGACCCUUGAGUCCGCGAAACCCAAGGGAAAAAGGCUAGGUGGCGAAUGGUAAAACCAAGGUUGGGCCUUGCUGGAGGAGUUUUAUUCAAGGCGAAUUGUCAAGGGGUUCCCAUUAUAACCCAACCGUGUAAGGAACGAAAAAUCAAGGAACAUAACACCAGUAUGACGGAAACUAGGGCGGCAAGAGUGGAACAAAACACCAGGCAUAAGGCCGAGCCUUCCACCCUUUACCAAGUGUAUAGAUGCAUUAAAGUAGACAAGAUAUAAUAAUGAUAUCCCAACAAUAAACAUGUUCCAACAAGGAACAAACUCCAAUCUUCACCUGCAACUAGCAACGCUAUAAGAGGGGCUGAGCAAAGCGGUAACAGAGCCAAACAACGGUUUGCUAGGACAAGGUGGGUUAGAGGAUUGACAUGGCAAUAUGGGAGGCAUGAUAAAGGAUGUGGUAGGUAUCGUAGCAUAGGCAUAACAAAAGAGCGAGCAUCUAGCAAGCAAAGAUAGAAGUGAUUUCGAGGGUAUGGUCAUCUUGCCUGCAAAGUUCUCCGAGUUGACGUAAGCUUGAUCCUCGUAAACGUUCUCAACGGGUUCCUCGAUCACGUACUCGUAUCCUGGCUCUACCCAAAGCAAGAACACAAACAAAGCGAACCACAAUCAACCACGUGCAAUGCACAAACAACCUGAUGCAAAACAUGGCAUGAUAUGCGGGAUGUGAUAUGCAAUGCAUAUGCAUGUUCCGGAAGGAAAAGAUUGAACCAGGCCUCAACUUGGAAAACUAAGUGUACCCCUGGAAAGAUGAGUUGAUUUCGGUCGAAAUCGAUAUAAAGAUCACCGGAAUCGGAUGCACGGUUUGCAAAUGGCAAGCAAAACAAUAAUGGCGCAAAGCUGCGAUUAACAGCACGAGGCCAUCUAAAUGCAUCAAGAACAACAAGCUACUGCACUCUAACAUAACAACAAAGCACAUGGCAGGGAUCCACUCAGGAUGCUUGACAAAAGAUGAACACUGAGCUAUGGCUAAUUCACUCAAUAGCAGGUUCAAACAAGCAUGGCAAAAGUGCAAAAGAUAACAGGUUACAGACUUAGUGAAAAUAACAACUUGGCAGGAAUUUAACAUCAGGAAGCAAUGUUUAGAACAAGAUAACAACAUGCUACAGGAACAUAUCAUGGCAAAGCAAGGCAUGGCAUGAAGCUACUCAAAGCAUACAACAAAAGUCCCUUACUGACCAUAAGCCAAAAGGGAUCAGAAAAUACAAUGGCAACCGUGUGAACAUAGCAACUUUCAUUAACAGAUUCAGACUUAGCAGAAAACUGGAACAUGGCAAAACAGAUUCACGUAGGCAUAUUUACGAGCUCGAUGCACUCACCACAAGGCAUUGCAUGACAAACUAAGCAUACAGCCACCAAGUAGACAUGAUGAAUAAGCUAACCAUGGCAAGAACACUCUCACAUCAUGCAUGGAUCAACUACAACAACCUCGGCAAAAUUGCUUAACAUGUAAACAAUCUGCCAGGAACAUUUUAUAGCAAAAGUAGAGCAAGAUUGAGUCAUGCUAGGGGACUCCAUAAUUGCAAACAAAGACAUGGAUGGAUAGAGCAUAACAAUAUCUCAAAAAACAUCCUUACUGAACAUGCUCAAAAGAGGCAUGGUUCACUCUGUAGCAACAAGAAUACAUGGCAUAAAAAUAUUAUCAGUGAAAAAACUUAGAAGAUUUCUAAGUCCCUAAAAUCACCAACAUCACGAGAGCUACUUUGCAUGCUUGUGCUAGUCAUCACAAAGAUCACAAAAAAACAUGGCAUACACCCCUGUAAAGAUGGCAUGGCAUACUUCAAAACACAUGUAGGGCUCAAGAUCAUAGGAGGCACACAUUAAACAUUGCAAAAAUGACAAAUGUCCAAUAACUGUUAAGAAUCUGAAACUAACAUUACAUAGCACUCUUGCAACAGCAUUUAGGGCAUCAAGAUGAACUCAAAUGAACAUGGUGCAAUGGAAUGAAAUGAAGUACACAUCGAUACGAACAAUUUGAUAUGCUACACGCCCAAAACGGAGCCACGUGUGCAAAGAUAUGAUGCAAUGAAAAAUGCUAAAAGUAAUGGAAAACUGGGACGAAGUCAACCCUAGGGUUUACUAUAGCCGAUCUAGAUCUGGGCGCAUGUAAAACGAGGUUCGUCGAAUCCUCUCACCGGAACAGUACUUGGGGGCGCCGGAGUUGGAGUCGCCGGCCGGAGGGGUCAAGGGCGCCGCCGGAGUUGGCCGAAUCCGGGGUCGGGGCGGCGCGACGACGAGGUAGAGGACUGCGGCACGGCGAGGCGAGGAGGAGCGGCGACCGGGUGGCAGCGGCGGCAUUCGCCGUCGUCGAGGUGGGCGAGGUGAGGCGGCGCCGACACGGGCGAGGGAGAGCGGGGCGGUGCUGCGAGCCGGGCGCGGGGAGGCGGCGACUGGGCCCGGGGGCCCGCUACGGGCCUCGGCGGGCCGGCGGCAGAGAGGACGGCGGUGGGACAUGUGGCAGCGUGGGAGUGGCGGAGGCAACUUUGUCCGGCGCGGACCGGACGUGUCCGGCGCGCGGAGGGGAAGGGGGCUAGGUUUAGGAUGGAAAUGAUCCGAGAAUUUCGGUGGAGGUGCCUUUUAUACAUAGGAGGAGCUAGGAGGCUCCAAAUUGAGCACGGUUUGCGGCCACGCGAUCGUGAUCGAACGACCGAGAUGAUGGAGGGGUUUUUGGUGGGUUUUGGGCCACUAUGGAGGGGUGUUGGGCUGCAACACACACGAGGCCUUUUCGGUUCCUCGGUUAACCGUUGGAGUAUCAAACGAAGUCCAAAUGGCACGAAACUUGACAGGCGGUCUACCGGUAGUAUACCAGGGCCGCUUGGCAAGUCUCGGUCCAAUCCGAGAACGUUUAACACCCACACACGAAAAGAGGUAAAAGGGAACACCGAAGGACAUAGGAGCGCCGGAAUGCAAAACGGACAACGGGGAAAAUGCUCGGGUGCAUGAGACGAACACGUAUGCAAAUGCGAUGCACAUGAUGACAUGGUAUGAGAUGCAUGACAAAGACAAAAGCAACACGAAGACAAAGACUCGACAACGAGGAAAUAACAUAACUUAGUGCCGGAAAUGGCAAGAGUUGGAAUACAAAUAUGGCAGGUUACAUAUGGGGCGUUACAAUAACGGCCUAGUCCGCUCCUGCACGUCUGAGCGAGACCCCAGUUGACUCACGUCGUGGCAAGGCCGUGAUGGCAGACGUGGGCCCUCGUAACUUUUCAUUGUGUUGGAUUAUGGAUGGGCUUAGGCCCGUAUAAGACACUAAUCCCUGAUUAAUCUUGAGGCCCAUGUAUGAGAUGGCAGGUGGUGGGAAGUUUAGUCCCACCUUGCUAGUUGAGGAGAGUUGAGACCCCUUUAUAAGGACUUCUCUACCACUUUCCAUUGGGAGCUUGGGAAGAGGAGUGGUACACGCACGUUCCUCCUCCUCCGCCGCCCACCUCGCCAUGCCUCGCCUCGUCACGACGCGCGCGCGCCGCGGGUUGCGGGUUGCGGGAAUGAGCCGAGCCGAAGCUUAUUUUUGCCGCUCAUGAAUGAAUUAAUUAAUCAGGGAUUAAUUAAUGAGUCGCUAAAAUGUGGGCCACUGUCCAAGACGUUGGACGGUGGGAUGACUUGCGUUGUCGGGAUUCAUCGACUCCCUUCCCGGGGGUGCGACCCUUGCUGGGACCCGCGUAUUCAUCGACUCCCUUGCCGGGAGUGCGACCCUUGCUGGGAACAACGACUCCCUUGCCGGGAGUGGGCCAACUCGGUCGUGGGCCUCGGCAAGGCCCACGACUUUCUUCCUUACGGACUAUAUAAGAAGGCUCUGGCCAGUGAAGUAACCUAGUUCGGUUCACUCACUCCCUCUCAUGCGACCUAGCCGGCAUCUACUGUUCCUCACUCUGUGCUGCCUCCGGCGAUCCCAUCCCGACGACCGCGUGCAUGGCUGGUCGGGAGAGAAGGUGCCUCCGGAACCCUGUCGUUUGAGAUCCUGCCUGGGAGAACUGCAAUAAGGUUUUUGGGGAGCGUCUCGACGCGACUGCUCCCGAUCCGUCCCCAACUCUGUUCGCCUCUGCUUCCACUACCUCCUCUGCAUCGACAGCAUGGCCGACGACGCCGCCGCUAAGAAGAAGGCUACGGAUGACAUCGAGGCUGCUGCUGCAGCCGCCGCGUUGGCCUGGCCAACCGGAGGGUAUGAUCGGCUCAUCCCUUGUUUACUCAUACUUAUGCUAGCCGCAUAUGUGCUGCUCAUAGAAGGUUCGAUUCUAUGUUCUGCACAUGCUAGUAUGCUUAGGUAUCGCUAUGAGAUGCAUACCUUUUAUGCCAUGCUUACUAUUUACUCGUGGAUAAGUCUAAUCGGAAAAGUGCUAAUAUUUCCAACAAUCCAAAAACCUUAUUUUAGGCACUUUUCGAUUCAAGGCUUUGCUGCUACUCUAAAACCGGAAAAGUUUACCGGGACGCAUUUUAAGCGUUGGCAGACUAGAACCACCUUGUGGCUCAUAGCGAUGAACGUGUUCUGGGUUGGUGGUGUGUCCCUCACAGAAACGAUUGCUCCUGAACAGGAGAAGGCAUUUAGGGAGGUAACCACAAUCUUUCUGGGAGAAGUUCUGAGUGUGAUUGGAGACAAGUUGGUUGACGCCUAUAUUCAUAUGGGCGUUGCCAAAAACUUGUGGGAUGCGCUCGAAGUCAAAUUCGGCGCAACUGAUGCUGGCAGUGAGCUAUAUGCCAUGGAGCAGUUGCAUGAUUACAGGAUGGUUGAUAACCGUUCUGUAUUAGACCAGGCUCAUGAGAUACAGUGCAUUGCUAAGGAGUUGGAGCUCCUGAAGUGUGAGUUACCGGACAAGUUUGUCGCGGGUUUCAUUAUUGCAAAACUCCCUCCUAGUUGGAGGAACUUUGCUACUUCUCUCAAGCACAUGAGACGUGAAUUCUCUGUUGAGGAUGUCAUUGGUCAUCUCAGUGUUGAGCAGAACUCGAGAGCAAAGGACUCACACGUGAAAGGGGCAGAGGGUUCUUCUAGCGCCAAUGUGGUGUAGAAGAACUUCCACAAGUUCAAGGGAAAGAACUUUGUCCAGCAGAAUACUACCUUUAAGAAGAAGGGUAAGAAGAAAGACAAAAAGAGAGAUGGCUACUUUACUUGUGGUUCAGAUGAACAUUGGGCAAACAAGUGCCCGAACAAGUACAAGAAGCCAGCACAGGACUCCAAGUCUGUGAAUUUCACUCUGAGCAACAAUGAUGCGGCAUGUGGGUAUGGUAAUCUGUUUACCAUACUUUCAGUUUGUCAGUCCAUCGAUUGGUGGAUUGACACUGGGGCCAAUAUUCAUGUGUGUGCUGAUGUGUCUUUGUUUUCUUCCUACCAGGUCGCAUGAGAUUGUUCCAUCCUGAUGGGGAAUGGCUCGCAUGCUUCUGUUCAUGGUGUUGGCACGGUAGAUCUGAAGUUUACUUCAGGAAAGAUCGUGCAACUAAAGAACGUGCAUCAUGUCCCCGCCAUAAAGAAGAAUCUCGUUAUUGGCUCCCUUCUAUGUAAAGAAGGGUUUAAGUUAGUAUCUGAGUCUAACAAAGUAGUCGUAUCUCGGUAUGGACUACUUGUUGGAAAAGGAUAUGAUUGUGGUGGUUUGUUCUGCCUUUCCCUGGAGGAUUUCUGUAAUAAAGUCAUGAACCAAAUUCAUUCUAAUGUGAACGAAUCUGAGGUUUGGCAUUCAUGUCUUUGUCACAUAAAUUUCAGUUGUAUGACGCGGCUAGCUAAGAUGGAUUUAAUCCCGAGUUUCACUUUAGCCAAAGGCUCUAAGUGUCAUGCGUGUGUGCAAGCUAAGCAACCUCGUAAGCCUCACAAGCCUGCGAAGGAGAGACACCUAGCACCUCUAGAGCUCAUACAUUCAGAUCUCUGUGAGACGAAUGGUGUGUUGACUAAAGAUGGAAAGAAAUACUUCAUGACUCUGAUUGAUGAUUCCGCUAGAUUCUGCUAUGUGUAUUUGUUAAAUACUAAGGAUGGGGCUCUACACUACUUUAAAGUCUAUAAGGCUGAAGUUGAGAACCAACUUGAGAAGAAAAUAAAACGAGUCCGGUCUGAUCGUGGUGGAGAGUACUUUUCUAAUGAGUUCGAUUUAUUCUGUGCAGAACAUGGUAUUAUUCAUGAGAGGACGCCUCCCUACUCACCCCAGUCAAACGGGGUUGCCGAACGGAAAAACCGUACUCUAACUGAUUUGGUUAACGCCAUGUUAGAUACAUCGGGUUUAUCCAAGGCAUGGUGGGGGGAGGCUGUAUUGACAUCUUGUCAUGUCCUGAAUAAAGUUCCCACAAAGGAUAAUGAGACUACUCCCUAUGAGAAAUGGGAAAAGAAAAGAACUACACUCUCUUGCGCACUUGGGGCUGUUUGGCGAAAGUCAAUGUGCCGAUAAUCAAAAGGCGCAAGUUGGGACCAAAGACCGUGGACUGUGUUUUUCUUGGCUAUGCUAAGCAUAGCGUUGGCUAUAGAUUUCUAGUGGUGAAAUCUGAGGUAGACCAGAAGGUCGGUACAAUUAUAGAGUCUAGGGAUGCUACAUUCUUUGAGGAUAUUUUUCCCAUGAGAGAUAUGCAAAGCAAUUCUAGACUGGAAUCUGAUGAGACUCCUGAACCUGCUAUUCCGAUGGAAUAUUAUGAACAUAAAAGUGAUAAGAGUUCCACGGAGGAUGACGAGGAAGCUCUUGUUAGGAGCAAGAGAUAGAGGACUGCAAAGUCCUUUGGUGAUGAUUUCCUCGUGUACCUCAUGGAUGAUGAUACUCCCAGCUCCAUUUCAGAAGCUUAUGCAUCUCCAGAUGCUGACUACUGGAAGGAUGCGGUCCGUAGUGAGAUGGAUUCCAUCUUGGCUAACGGGACAUGGGAGAUCACUGAUCGUCCUUAUGGUUAUCGACCAUUAGGAUGUAAGUGGGUGUUCAAAAGGAAGCUUAGGCCCGAUGGUACUAUUGAGAAGUACAAGGCUAGGCUUGUGGCCAAGGGUUAUACCCAGAAAGAAGAAGAUGAUUUCUUUGACACUUAUUCACCUGUGGCUAGACUGACAACCAUUCGAGUGUUACUCGCUUUGGCUGCCUCGCAUGGUCUUCUCGUUCAUCAGAUGGACGUUAAGACGGCUUUCCUUAACGGAGAGCUAGACGAGGAAAUUUACAUGCAACAACCGGAUGGCUUUGUAGUAAAUGGUCAGGAAGGAAAGGUGUGUAAGCUAGUGUAAUCUUUGUAUGGCCUGAAACAAGCGCCUAAGCAAUGGCAUGAGAAGUUCAACACUACUCUGACAUUUGCUGGCUUUGUUGUGAACGAAGCUGAAAAAUGUGUAUACUAUCGCUAUGAUGGGGGCGAAGGAGUUAUACUGUGUCUGUAUGUCGAUGACAUACUGAUAUUUGGGACCCACCUCAAGGUAAUUGAGGAGGUCAAGUCCUUUCUAUCUCACAACUUUGAGAUGAAGGACCUGGGUGUGGCUGAUGUUAUCCCGAACAUCAAGCUACUAAGAAAUUCUGAGGGUGGAAUUACACUUUUGCAAUCCCACUAUGUCGAGAAGAUUUUGAGCCAUUUUGGAUAUUCGGACUGCAAACCUUCUGCAACACCAUAUGAUCCUAGCGUGCGGAUUCGAAAGUUCGAAGGCACGACUGUAGAUCAAUUGAGAUAUUCUCAAGUCGUUGUUUCACUGAUGUACCUAGCAUGUGCUACUCGUCCUGGCAUCUCAUUUGCUGUGUGCAAACUGAGCCGGUUUGUUUCCAAUCCGGGAGAUGUGCAUUGGCAUGCUGUUGAGCGAGUGAUGCGUUAUUUGCAAGGUACUGCGAACUAUGGAAUUCACUAUUCUGGGUACCUGACGGUACUUGAGGGGUAUAGUGAUUCGAAUUGGAUAUCUGAUGCUGAUGAGAUGAAAGCCACAAGUGGACAUGUCUUCACACUUGGUGGUGGUGCUGUUUCUUGGAAGUCUUGCAAGCAGACGAUCUUAACCAGAUCGACUAUGGAAGCAGAACUCACAGCAUUAGACACAUCAUGCGUCAAAGCAGAAUGGCUUCGAGAGCUUUUGAUGGAUUUGUCGGUGGUUGAUAAACCAGUGCUGGUUGUCCUUAUGAACCGUGACAAUCAAACAGUGAUUGCCAAGGCUAAGAGUUCAAAGGACAACAUGAAAUCCACAAAGCACAUAAUAAGAAGAUUGAAAUAUGUCAGAAAAUCAAGAAACUCCGGAGUAAUAGCGUUGGAUUACAUCCAGACGGCUAAGAAUCUGACAGACCCUUUUACGAAAGGGCUAUCACGGAUUGUGAUAGAAAAUGCAUCGAGGGAGAUGGGUAUGAGACCCACGUAAGUUGCCAUGGGAGUAACCCAACCUAUGUGAUCGGAGAUCCCGUGAAUUAGGACCUGGGAAAACAAUCCAGCGGUCAACUGAGGAGAGUAUCCUUAAUUAACCCACUCCGUUGGAGAUGCACAAUAUUCUCAAUUCUGUAAGGCAGGCUGACUUUUGUCUUAAUGUGUUCCAAAGCUUGUGUAAGCAAGAUGCUAACCUACAGAGCAUUCUUUGGAGGAACACACCUAUGUGAGCCCGACUACUGGUCACAGUCUAUGAGAUUGGGUAAUCUCUAUUAAGCUCAUGAGAAGGUACGGAGUUUGACUAAUAAGCUCCACCCGUGGGGUUUAGCCUUCGGCAGCCAUGUAUCAGCUGACAAUAGGCGAAACUUCUGCACGCAAAACUAAUAAUUCAAGGCAUAGUCCAUUGUUUAGUUGUGAAGAAGUCUAAUCCUAUUGCUCUAGGUGGAAGUUCAACUUAACAGUCUCCAUUGAAAAUUCUGGUAUAUCAAACAUUGUUUGGAAUAGUUGACAAACUUACGUGCCUCGAGAUCUGGUGGGGGAUUGUUGGAUUAUGGAUGGGCUUAGGCCCAUAUAAGACACUAAUCCCUGAUUAAUCUUGAGGCCCAUGUAUGAGAUGACAGGUGGUGGGAAGUUUAGUCCCACCUUGCUAGUUGAGGAGAGUUGAUACCCCUUUAUAAGGGCGGCUCUACCACUUGCCAUUGGGAGCUUGGGAAGAGGAGUGGUACACGCGCGCUCCUCCUCCGCCGCCGCCCGCCUCGCCACGCCUCGCCUCGUCACGAUGCGCGCGCGCCGCGGGUUGCGGGUUGCGGGAAUGAGCCAAGCCGAAGCUUAUUUUUGCCGCUCAGGAAUGAAUUAAUUAAUCAGGGAUUAAUUAACGAGUCGCUAAAAUAUGGGCCACUGUCCAAGACGUUGGACGGUGGGCUGACUUGCGUUGCCGCGAUUCGUCGACUCCCUUGCCGGGGGUGCGACCCUUGCCGGGACCCGCGUAUUCGUCGACUCCCUUGCCGGGAGUGCGACCCUUGCCGGGAACAAUGACUCCCUUACCGGGAGUGGGCCGACUUGGUCGUGGGCCUCGGCAAGGCCCAUGACUUUCUUCCUUACGGACUAUAUAAGAAGGCUCUGGCCAGUGAAGUAACCUAGUUCGGUUCACUCACUCCCUCUCGUGCGAACUAGCCGUCAUCUACUGUUCCUCACUCUGUGCUGCCUCUGGCGAUCCCAUCUCGACGACCGCGUGCACGGCUGGUCGGGAGAGCAGGUGCCUCCGGAACCCUGUCGUUCGAGAUCCUGCCCGGGAGAACGGCAAUAAGGUUUUUGGGGAGCGUCUCGACGCGACUGCUCCCGAUCCGUCCCCAACUCUGUUUGCCUCUGCUUCCACUACCUCCUCUGCAUCGACACCAUGGCCGCCGCCGCCGCCGCUAAGAAGAAGGCUGCGGGCGACGCCGAGGCUGCUGCUGCAGCCGCCGCAUUGGCCUGGCCAACCGAAGGGUAUGAUCUGUUCAUCCCUCGUUUACUCGUACUUAUGCUAGCCGCAUAUGUGCUGCUCAUAGAAGGUUCAAUUCUAUGUUCUGCACGUGCUAGUAUGCUUAGGUAUCGCUAUGAGAUGCAUACCUUUUAUGCCAUGCUUACUGUUUACUCGUGGAUAAGUCUAAUCGGAAAAGUGUUAAUAUUUCCAACACAUUGCGCCAUAUACGGGAAUAAUAACUGGGCCUAUACGCUUGGGAUUGUGGAUCACGAGGACUGCGGGCGGGUGGGAUACCGAGACCACCUGUGCUCGUGCUCAGAAGAUCAUUUUCGGUCUUUUCAUAUACUAGUAGAUGCUAUUUCAUAUACUAUCUGGCCUAAUGUUAUAGCAUAGCACAGCAAGUACCCUGAACAGCAUGAGAUGAUGACAAAAGAGUCUCUAACAAUAGAAUUUCAGCAUAACAUGGCUGUCCCAUAUAGCUAGGUUAUGUCAAUUUCAGAUUCCUGGGUUAUUCUGGAAGGAAUUAAAAGAUAAGACUCACAAAUCACUUGACAGAAUAAUUCAGUUUUCUUUUCUAGAUUUUGUUUCCAUUUCCAGGUACAUAUGUUUGAAAUGAGCUGGGCAAGUAGAAUCCACGUUCUAUUAUUACAUUGGAGUAUCAGUGUAUAACCUUUUUUGGCCAUGAUAGCAUAAAUUUAGAUAUAUUAAAACUGAGCACCCUCCCAGCCUUCUCAGGCCAUUGGCAUUUCUGGCCGUUCGAUUUCAUGUGCUAAACGUUUCUGGCCGUUAGAUCUUCUGUCAACAUGAUUUUUUUCGUGAGGUGGGCUGGCUGUCCUAAAGGGCAGCUAUUCCCGUAGCUUUUUUGGCCCACUGUGGUUAACUGGGCUGAUAUUUGGUUUUUUGUCCCAUAUCUUCGCCUCGACACGUGAUGCCAAUCUAUCUGCCUCGACUCCUCGUCGCCCCACCUCAAAAAGAAAAGAAAAAAAAACUCCUCCUCUCCCCGACCUCUUCUCUUCUGUCCGCCUGCAGGACUUGCGCCCGCACGCGCUUGACCGCCGGCGGGUGAAGGAGUCGGGGCCGGAUCCGGCGGCUUGUCGCCGCGCUUAUGGAUCCAGACCGCAUCCAUCGCGACUGGGUGGUGCCUGCGGCCCCAUCUCGAUUCCCGCCGUGUCACUGACCCAGGCCUCCGGCCUCGACCUUAAUUCCUUCCUGUUCCUCCCUAUCAAGCAGGUCGUCGCCUCCUGUGGCAUCGUCUAUCAUAUCUAGCCAUAUCGUCCGCCGGUGGUGCCACCAGAUUAAGCGUCCACAUGUGCGGUGUGAUUGCCGUCCUAGAUGGCUUCCGCACAUCCAUGCCUUGCCUACAGGUACAGCCAGCCUUUUCCCAUUCGCAAUAUGCCUAGGCUAGAGAUGGAGGCCUUUCCCAUGCGAGAAUCACCAAAGACAUGGCUAUGAUUAUGGUAGAUACACUGGAUUUAAUAUGUGAGUUCCAUAGUAUACAUAUUUUUUCUACUUGUCCUAGGAAUUCCAAAUAAAUUCAGAAUUCUCUUAUUUAUUAUAUGUAUGGUUUAAUUGCUUUUCGAAGUGCACAUUGUAUGUUGGUGAUGCGUUUUUAAUUGAAUUCUUUCUCUUUUAGACUUUUACUGGAUUGAGCAGAACAAAAAAGAAUAGACGUUUUUGUUUAGUUUAUUUAUAAAAGAGAAAGGAACUUGGAAGGCGAUUCAGUUUUGUCAUAGGAAUUGAUGCUAAGUAUCUUGUGCAUUUAACUUUGAGGGGAAACUGCACCCAUCCAAAUUCAAGAAUCAAUUAUCUAACCAGGUUUACUAAACAUAUAUGCAUUUCUCUUAUUUAUUUUGCAUAUUCAUUACUAUUUUGUGAUUUGGUUGUGAUAACCAACGGGAGGAAGAAGAUCGCCUCCAGCAUUCUGAGACCUCAAGGCAACUCAAGAGCAGAUCGCCAAUGGAAGCUACACCAUCCUGCUCCAGCCGGAUUUGGAGGCCGGCGCACCAUGAUUCACCAAGGGCACCGUCGUGAGGUUCGCCGUCUAUUUGCCGGCCGUCUUGUGUCCGUUUGCUGGUUGCCAUGGGGAUGGCAGUGUCGGCAUUUUGGUGGUGCUUAUUGUUGGCAGGUUCGUGCAGCACACUGGAGGUUCGGGAGCGCGUGAUGACCAUCAUGUCCAAGAUACUGCAGCUCGAGGACACCAUAGCCGUCCAGAGCAAUGAUAUCUUGGAUUGAAAUCUGUAAGUGGAGGAUACAUUGUAACCUGUCAAAUAAUGUGUACAUGUUGAGGGAGUAAUAAUAGCAGAAUGUUGACAUGUCUGUGUUUGGGAUUGUAGGCAGAAGGCCAUGAUAGGAAACCGGUUAACUCCGUGGAAGGUACAAUACUGCCGAUUUCAUUUCUGAAUGUUGCGUUGCACGGUCACAAUAUCUUAGAAAAAAAUCUUCGGCAAUGCUUAUCUGUAGCUGAAAAUCCUCUUCUGGUUAUGCAGUACAUCCUCUCCUCCUCUGAUGUUGAUGUGAAAUCUCCUUCUGCAAGGUAACUAGACAAUCAAUUCCUACAAAUUUGCAAGCUUUGUUUCUCUCAAGUCUUCCACUCAACCCCAGACAAUACUUCAUUGAAUCUGUGAAUUUUCUCCUGAACUGAUAGAUGCAGUUGCAGGUCAAAACAUUGUGAUAUGAGGUAAUGGAAAUAUUUAUGGAGGAAAUUUACUUUUAAACAUCGUAUAGGUUAUCUUUAUCUAAAUCAUGUGGUCCUUUUUCAGUUAUGAGUUGCAGUAGUACUACAUGAAGAUUAUAAAUUAGGUACGAUUGUUUUUGCUUUCUAAUUCAUGAGUACAAGCGUACAAAAUCAGUAUCUAUUUUCACCAUGUCAUGGCACGGCAACCGUGGGGCGAAUAUGAUUGAACCUUAUAAGCUGGCCUCAAGAACAUAAACACUGGUUCCAUUUUAUUUUCCCGGACCUCAUAAAUACUCAUUUUGCUUAUAACAGUUCCGAGGUAUGACACAAAGAUUAAGCAGAAAGCAAUGCUUGCUACAGAUUUCUGUAACUGUCUUACUUUAGAACGUCUAGCCCUUUGUAUAUAUUUCCUAGAGAUAAAAAAACCUAAUCGCUCUAGCUGGGCUUAAAUUUAGGACAUUCUUUUUGGUUGUUGAAUAAGGUUUCACAACAGUGGUAGAGAUAGUUUGAACUUGCAAUAGCUUUGUGUCAGAUGAAAAACAACAACACAAGAAGCGAGCAUGUCAAUCAUGGGUAUUGUUAUUGUUCAACUUUUCCAAUAGCGUUGCAGAAAACAUGGUUGUUGCCAAUUGAACGAAUGUUAUGUUUUCAAAGAGAAUUCAAGUUCGUCUUUUAUGUAUUUAUAUGUGCUGAUGCAAUAAAAUUUGAUUGAAUCUUCUUUGAAAUUUAUUUCAGUACUAAUGCAUAACUAAGUAAUGAUAUCUAGCUUGAGCAGCUCAACUACGACGCACUGGAUACACGCUAGGUAUACUGACAUCUUACGCAUAUCUUCGCUUUUAUUUCAGUUAUCACUUUUGGUGUAGAACUCUUUGUCUUCCAUUUUAUACAUGAUGUUAUUUUGCUAUAUCAGUUAUGUUGUCCUAACCGGAUAGUUAUCUUUUCUGUAAACGACACAGGUGGUUGCUGAUUGGUUGACAUUUUAAUUUGGACCUUACUUAAUUCGUACAAGUGUAGUGACACCAUUUUCCAUGUUGGUUUGUUUUGGCAAGCAUUUUCAUGUAUAAAAUGGAAUUGUCAGUUUGCCACUUUAUUACAUAUAGCUUUCAGCCUGAUUGAUCUUUAACAAAACACCAAACAAAAAGGAAAAGUAUGAUUACCGCAUAUCCCUGCUACUGCUUGUAUGGUAGUAUUUAGUAUAUAUCAUUAUUUGAUAUUGCAACUAAUUUAAUUCUUGUUAGGUUGUUUGCCCUAUGAAUGUGAUGCCCUCCACAAGAAACAGCCAGCUGCAUUAGGCAGACAUAAAUCUUCUUUGUUUCGGAACAUGGUGGCCUUUUGGUAGAGGCAUGUGAAGAUUCCAUUUACUCAUGAUGUAUACAAUCUACUCCAUCCGUUCCUAAAUAUAAGUUUUUUUUAAGAAAUAUUAAUGUAAACUACAUACGAAUGUAUAUAGACAUAGUUUAGAGCGUAGAUUCAUACAUUUUGCUCCAUAUGUAGUCCAUAUUGGAAUCUUUAAAAAGGGCUAAUAUUUAUAAACAAAAGGAGUAUUUCUUAUUGCCUAUUAUUUGUACUGAUUAGUUGUAUUUACUAUCUAUAUUGUUCUGUAUGUUGUUAUACCAAGCCAAUAUGUAUAUGUGACCUUGCCUUUACGGAGUAUAUAUAUGAGAUUUUCUUGGAUUACCGACUAAUGUAUGUUUAUGUGUAAAUUCAGUAUAUUUUGUGUGGUCAUUUAUUAUCAAAAUACCUAUCAUUUCAUUGUAGAAAUAGAUAGGCGCAACAACUAAUGCAUGGUUAUGUUUAGGUAAAUUCAAUAUAUUUCAUGUGGUCAUUUAUUUAUCAACUACCUUUCAUUUCAUUGUAGAAAUAGACGGGUGCAGCAACGUGCGCCAUCAAUGAUCUAGUGUACUAUUCAUAUUCAGUUCGGUAUGUAUUACUUUCAAUAAGUCAUUAGCUCGCUCCAUUGUUCUGAAAAACGAAGUUUUAGUCAUCUUGGCCAUGAGGCAUGGUUCGCAAGUAUCAGAUGAUUCAUAAUUAAGUGAUUACUAAAGUCCAUUUCCAUGGAGUUUCUUCAUGUGCUUUACACUAAUAUGACAAAAACGGCAGUGCCACAAGUAUGUUGCACUAUCAUUAUCAACUUUGCAUCUUUUGGCAUUAAUAUUAUGAAUAUGUGUAUUCUAUGAUCGAGAUUCAAUAAACAAUUUAUAUUGAGUGUAUGACCAUAGAAGGUUUUAUUCAUGUAAACAAAAUAAUAAUUAUUCUUUGACUUAAAUGAAUAACCGUAUUGCAAUAAUCACGAUUCAAUCAUAUUCAUGCUCAACGCAAACACCAAAUAACAUUUAUUUUAGGUUCAACACUAAUCCCGAAAGUAAAGGAAGUAUGGAUGAUGAUCUUAUCAACCUUGGAAACACUAGUAAAGUACACAUCAAUAACAUGUAUAUCAAAUAUACCUUUGUUCACUUUGUCAUUCUUCUUAUCCGCCAAGUUUUUGGGGUAGGUCCGCUUCCAAUGACCAUUUCCCUUGCAGUAGUAGCACAUAGUUUCAGGUUUGGGUUUAGCUUUGGGCUUCUUCAUGGGAGUGGCAACUUUCUUGCCAUUCUUCUUGAGGUUUCCUUUCUUUCCCUUGACGUUUUUCUUGAAACUAGUGGUCUUGUUAACUAUUAACACUUGAUCUAUUUCUUGAUUUCUACCUUCGCCGAUUUCAACAUCGCGAAGAGUUUGGGAAUCUUCGUCAUCCCUUGCAUAUUAUAGUUCAUCACGAAGUUUUAGUAACUUGGUGAUAGUGACUAGAGAACUCUGUCAAUCACUAUCUUAUCUAGAAGAUUAACUCCCACUUGAUUCAAACGAUUUUAGUACCCAGACAUUCUGAGCACAUGACCACUAGCUAAGCUAUUCUCCUCCAUCUUAUAGGCAAAGUACUUGCCAGAGGUCUCAUACCUCUUAACACGGGCAUGAGUAUGAAAUACCAAUUUCAACUCUUGGAACAUCUCAUAUGCUCUGUGGCGUUCAAAACGUUUUUGAAGUCCCGAUUCUAAGCCGUAAAGCAUGGUGCACUAAACAAUCAAGUACUCAUCAUACCGAGCUUGCCAAACGUUCAUAACGUCUGCAUCCGCUCUUGCAAUAGGUUUGUCAUCUAGCGGUGCAUCAAGGACAUAAUUCUUCUGUUCAGCAAUGAGGAUAAUCCUCAGAUCACGGACCCAGUUCGCAUCAUUGCUACUAUCAUCUUUCAACUUUUCUCUAGGAACAUAUGAAAAAUAUAUAGGAGCUAUAUCGCAAGCUAAUGAUCUAUAACAUAGAUAUGCAAAUACUAUCAGGAGUAAGUUCAUGAUAAAUUAAGUUCAAUUAAUCAUAUUACUUAAGAACACCCACUUAGAUUGACAUCUCGUCUAAAUGAUACGUGAUCCAAAUCAACUAAAUCAUGUCCGAUCAUCACGUGAGAUGGAGUAGUCUUCAAUGGUGAACAUCUCUAUGUUGAUCAUAUCUACUAUAUGAUUCACGUUCGACCUUUCGGUCUCCAGUGUUCCGAGGCCAUGUCUGUACAUGCUAGGCGUGUCAAGUUUAACCCGAGUAUUCCGCAUGUGCAAAACUAUCUUGCACCCGUUGUAUGUGAACGUAGAGCUUAUCACACCCGAUCAUCAUGUGGUGUCUCUGCACGACGAACUGUCGCAACGGUGCAUACUCAGGGAGAACACUUAUACCUUGAAAUUUAGUGAGGGAUCAUAUUAUAAUGCUACCGUCGUAUUAAGCAAAAUAAGAUGCGUAAAAGAUAAACAUCACAUGCAAUCAAAAUAUGUGACAUGAUAUGGCCAUCAUCAUCUUGUGCCUUUGAUCUCCAUCUCCAAAGCACCGUCAUGGUUUCCAUCAUCACCAGCUUGACGCCUUGAUAUCCAUCGUACUAUCGUUGUUGUCUCGCCAACUAUUGGUUCUCCAACUAUCGCUAAUGCAUAGUGAUAAAGUAAAGCAAUUACUUGGUGUUUGCAUUUCAUACAAUAAAGCGACAACCAUAUGGCUCCCGCUAGUUGCCAAUAACUUUUACAAAACAUGAUCAUCUCAUACAAUAAUGUAUAUCACAUCAUGUCUUGACCAUAUCACAUCACAACAUGCCCUGCAAAAAUAAGUUAGACGUCCUCUACUUUGUUGUUGCAAGUUUUACAUGGCUGCUACGAGCUUCUAGCAAGAACCAUUCUUACCUACGCAUCAAAACCACAACGGUGAUUUAUCAAGUUUGCUGUUUUAACCUUCAACAAGGACCGUCCACAGUUAAAUUCGAUUCAACUAAAGUUGGAGAAAUAGACACCCGCCAUGCACCUUUUUGCAAAACUAGUUGCUUGUCUGUCAGUGGAGCCGGUCUCAUGAAUGUGGUCAUGUAAGGUUGGUCCGGGCCGCUUCAUCCAACAAUACUGCCGAAUCAAAAUAAGACAUUGGUGGUAAGCAGUAUGACGAUCACCACCCACAACUCUUUGUGUUCUAUUCGUGCAUAUCAUCUACACAUAGACCUGGCUCGGAUGCCAUUGUUGGGGAACGUAGCAUGCAAUUUCCAAAAAUAUUCCUACGAUCAUGCAAGAUCUAUCUAGGAGAUGCAUAGCAACGAGAGGGGAAGAGUGUCCAUGUACCCUCGUAGACCGAAAGCGGAAGCGUUAGUUUAACACGGUUGAUGUAGUCGAACGUCUUCUCGAUUCAACCAAUCAAGUACCGAACGUACGACACCUCCAAGUUCUGCACACGUUCAGCUCGAUGACAUCCCUCGAACUCUUGAUCCAGCAAAGUGUCGAGGGAGAGUUUCGUCAGCACGACGGCAUGGUGAUGGUGAUGGUGAAGUGAUCCGCAGGGUUUCACCUAAGUACUACGACAAUAUGACCAGAGGAGUAAACGGUGGCGGGGUGUAACAUCCCAAAUUCUUCAAUUUGGAAUGUUAUGCAUUAGGUCAUCUUUGCAUAUCAUAUUUUAAUGCAUUUUGGUUUGAUCCUAGAAAUUCUACGCAACUCAAGGACCUACGGAGAGAUUUCGUUAUUUCCAUAUUUGAGUUUUCUCAAAUUUUGAAAAGAGGAUCGUUUGAUUUUAAUUAUUUUCUCUUUGAAUAUUUCUUUUAUAAAAAUAAAAGAGAGAGGAUAAAAUGACUUCCUCAAAAUAAAGAAAUAUUGGAGAUUUAAUAUUGAAAUCAAAUAAGAAUUUUAUUCGGAGUUUUAUCGCUAUUUUAUUUGAAUUAGGAAAAAUAUGCGUUUUUUCGAAAUUGUAUUAGAGUCCCAAAUAAAUGUUCACCCUCUCCGGUAGAUUUUAGAGGACGGAGAAAAUUUAUUUCAGGAUUUUUGGAGCCCGUUUAGUAUUUCUUUUCUUUGUUUUUCUGCGCGGAUUUAUUUUAAAAAAAAAGGUCGAACCGACUUGGGCCGCCGUGGGCGACCUGGACUGCGCCUCGCCCCAGGCUUUAUAAGCCCACGACCCCGCCAGCCCCAGCCCACCCCAGCCACCGCCGAACCCUAGCCGCGCCUCGAGCCCCGCGCCGCCACCGCCGAAGUUGACCGCCGCCGCCACUGUUUUUUUUCUUCUUCGGUUUAUUUCGGUAAACCCUAGAUCUAGAUCCUUUUUUUUAAAAUUUUCGGUUUAUUUUUUUGAUCGGUUUUUCGUCGGUUUAUUUAUUCAGCGAACACCCGUUCGUUGAUUCCUUUUAACAAAUGAUUUUCACCGUUUAGCCGCAGACAGCGAAUGUUCGUUCGUUAGCCUGUUUGUCAGUUUUUCUUUUUCUCGGAUUUUUCGCGAUUAUUUUCGAUCGCGAUUUCUAAUCUGAUUUUCGUUUUUGUUUAUCUUUUCGUUUGUUUAUCGGAAUCAGGCGAUUCAAGCGCCUAAAGUUUCGUCUCGAAGCCCUCUUUCUAUUUAAUCAAGUUAAACAAGUUUUUGCUACUAUAAAAUUUGACUUUAGUCCAGAUUAGUAAUCGAAGCUUGUUUCUUUCACAAUUUGAGUUUUGUUGCUUCGUUCGAUUUGAUUCUUUUUGCAAACCGGAGUUCUUAAGUUGAACUUUCUGGUUAGAUCUUCUUAUUUGAGUUUUACCCAUGCAUUUUUGUUUGAUUCCUUAUUGUAUGUUUGUUUGUUUACGAUAGAGUACCCGGAGUGCGAAGCGUGCUACUACGAGUCUCUAGGUUUCACGGAUCAUCAGCAAGGCAAGUAACACUUUGAUCAUACCUCUUUACUACCCAGUUUUAUUGCAUUAGAUCAAUCCUCAAACAAUUGCAUGAUUAGGAUCUGAUUAAUAUAUGGGUUUUGGGAAGUAGAUGAGGUAGUACCUACUGUCCUGUUUAUUACCAAACCUUUGGGAGUUACUUCUACGUUGCUUAUAUUACUAUGCUAUGCUCGUAGACGUGGUUUGGGUUUGAGUGUAUUCAUGACAGAUGUGAGUAUUGUCAAUUAAUGGUUAACUUAAGGUGACAACUUUAAUACACAUCUGGGUGGACUAAGGCACCUGGGGAACCCAGUGUUGCCUGUAUUUUUGGAAAUCCCGGGGUACCGUGUGAUUCUCCUAUGGACUGCCACCCAGGCUCAAAGGGAUCAUAAGAUUAUUCAUGCUAGAAACUUCCGUGUGCAGCCACAUGCCAUUAUGGGUGUAACGCCCGGAUAAUCAUGCUACAGUGAUCUUACGUUAAUGGUGACACGUCACCUCUGUCACUGUAAUUAAUCUCGGGUUAAUUCAAAACCGUUUCAAAUUUAAAUCCUAAAUAGGUCAAACGACAAAAGUUUUCAAAUAUUAAAAUAAAAUGUUCGGGCUAUGUCUAGUAUUGCAUCGGUAAUUAUGGUGAAGUAAACACCUUUUUAUAAAAUGCCUAAAUACUUUUAGAUGAAUUAAACAGGAAAGAAAUAAUAAAAGAAAAUACAAAAGGGGAAAACAAAAAAAAGAGAAAAGAAAGAGAAAGCCCCCCCUCCCUGGGCCGUGGCCCAACUAGGCCAACCCACCUAGCCCAGCCGGCCCACCCCCGGCUAUNNNNNNNNNNNNNNNNNNNNNNNNNNNNNNNNNNNNNNNNNNNNNNNNNNNNNNNNNNNNNNNNNNNNNNNNNNNNNNNNNNNNNNNNNNNNNNNNNNNNNNNNNNNNNNNNNNNNNNNNNNNNNNNNNNNNNNNNNNNNNNNNNNNNNNNNNNNNNNNNNNNNNNNNNNNNNNNNNNNNNNNNNNNNNNNNNNNNNNNNNNNNNNNNNNNNNNNNNNNNNNNNNNNNNNNNNNNNNNNNNNNNNNNNNNNNNNNNNNNNNNNNNNNNNNNNNNNNNNNNNNNNNNNNNNNNNNNNNNNNNNNNNNNNNNNNNNNNNNNNNNNNNNNNNNNNNNNNNNNNNNNNNNNNNNNNNNNNNNNNNNNNNNNNNNNNNNNNNNNNNNNNNNNNNNNNNNNNNNNNNNNNNNNNNNNNNNNNNNNNNNNNNNNNNNNNNNNNNNNNNNNNNNNNNNNNNNNNNNNNNNNNNNNNNNNNNNNNNNNNNNNNNNNNNNNNNNNNNNNNNNNNNNNNNNNNNNNNNNNNNNNNNNNNNNNNNNNNNNNNNNNNNNNNNNNNNNNNNNNNNNNNNNNNNNNNNNNNNNNNNNNNNNNNNNNNNNNNNNNNNNNNNNNNNNNNNNNNNNNNNNNNNNNNNNNNNNNNNNNNNNNNNNNNNNNNNNNNNNNNNNNNNNNNNNNNNNNNNNNNNNNNNNNNNNNNNNNNNNNNNNNNNNNNNNNNNNNNNNNNNNNNNNNNNNNNNNNNNNNNNNNNNNNNNNNNNNNNNNNNNNNNNNNNNNNNNNNNNNNNNNNNNNNNNNNNNNNNNNNNNNNNNNNNNNNNNNNNNNNNNNNNNNNNNNNNNNNNNNNNNNNNNNNNNNNNCGCCUCGCCGGCGCUGGCGCGCGCACCUGCGGCGGCCGCCCGAGUUCGCCCGUUAACGGGUGGCGCCCGCGGCCUGCACCCAGCGCCCGCAAGGCCCCCCUGGGCCAAUGACGUGUGGGGCCUAGCCCCCACAGAACGUUUCUGUUAAAAAAAAGAGAUAAAAAAUAUAUAUAUUAAUAAUAUUAAAUUAAUUAAUUAAAUAAAUAAUUAAUUAAAUUAACUAUGAUUAAAUUAACUAAUUAUGUAUAAUUAACCUAAUGACUAAUUAACCUAGUGAACUACUGAUAAUUAACUAAACAGUGAAUGACAGGUGGGUCCCACUGGACCCACACAGUAGGUUGACCAGGUCAACGGUCAACGUUGACUGCUGACGUCAUGCUGACGUCAGCAUACACUAUUCUGGAUAAUGUUAGAGUUAAAUAAUUAAAUAAAUUCUAAAAAUGAUUAAAUCUUUUAAAAUUUAUAUAAAAUAAACCGUAGCUCAGAUGGAAAAACCUUGUACAUGAAAGUUGCUCAAAACGACGAGACGAAUCCGGAUACGCAACCCGUUUAUCCACCACACAUUCCUAGCAUAGCGAACACGCAACUUUCCCCCUCCGGUUCACCGGUCCAAAAACGCGAAACACCGAGGAUACUUUCCCGGAUGUCAUCCCCCUUCACCGGUAUCACCUACUACCGCGUUAGGGCACCUCUGACGCCGUUACCUGUCAUGUCAUACAUCACUAUGCAUAUGCUUGCAUUAUAUUUAUUGUUUCCUCCCUCUCUUCUCUUGCUAGACACCGAGACCGACGCCGCUGCUACCCCGUACGACUACGGUGUUGACGACCCCUCUCUCUUGCCAGAGCAACCAGGCAAGCCCCCCCCUUGAUCACCAGAUAUCGCCUACUCUCCUCUAUACUGCUUGCAUUAGAGUAGUGUAGCAUGUUACUGCUUUCCGUUAAUCCUAUUCUGAUGCAUAGCCUGUCCUUGCUACUACUGUUGUUACCUUACCUGCAAUCCUACAUGCUUAGUAUAGGUUGCUAGUAAUCCAUCAGUGGCCAUACAUUCUUGUCCGUCUGCCAUGCUAUACUAUUGGGCCGUGAUCACCCGGGAGUUGAUCACGGGUAUAUAACUAUACUUUAUACAUGAUACAUGUGAUGACUAAAGUCGGGUCGGCUUGUGGAGCACCUGCGAGUGAUUCACGGAUUGGGGGCUGAAAGGACCUUUGUCCCAACGGCCCUCUGUGUGGAUCUUUGUGGCGAAGCGACAGGGCAGGUUGAGACCACCUAGGAGAGAGGUGGGCCUGGCCCUGGACGGCAUUCGCGGUUAUUUCAAAAUAACGCGCUUAACGAGAUCUUGGUAUUUGAUCUGAGUCUGGCUACUUGCCUAUACGCACUAACCAUCUACGCGGUGACAGUUAUGGGCACUCGACGUCGUGGUAUCAGCCGAAGCCUUCGUGACGUCAGCAACGGAGCGGCGCGCGCUGGAUUGGACUGGAACGCCACUAGGCUAGGUCUGCUUUCGGCCGCCCACGCAACGUGCAGGUGUGCUAAGGGCGAUGGGCCCAGACCCCUGGGCGCUUAGGUUUAGACCGGCGUGCUGACCUCUCUGUUGGUCUAGGUGGGGCUGCGACGUGUUGAUCUUCCGAGGCCGGGCAUGACCCAGGAAAGUGUGUCCGGCCAAAUGGGAUCGAGCGUGUUGGGUUAUGUGGUGCACCCCUGCAGGGAAGUUAAUCUAUUCGAAUAGCCGUGAUCUUCGGUAACAGGACGACUUGGAGUUGUACCUUGACCUUAUGACAACUAGAACCGGAUGCUUAAUAAAACACACCCUUCCAAGUGCCAGAUACAACCGGUGAUCGCUCUCUCACAGGGCGACGAGGGGAGGAUCAUCGGUUAGGAUUAUACUAUGCGAUGCUACUUGGAGGACUUCAGUCUAAUCUCUUCUACAUGCUGCAAGACGGAGGCUGCCAGAAGCGUAGUCUUCGAAAGGACUAGCUAUUCCCCCUUAUUCCGGCUUUCUGCAGUUCAGUCCACAUAUGAUACCCUUAUUCCAUUUGAUACCAAUGCAUACAUAUGUAGUAUAGCUCCUUGCUUGCGAGUACUUUGGAUGAGUACUCACGGUUGCUUUCUCCCUCUUUCCCCCCAUCCCUUCUACCUGGUUGUCGCAACCAGAUGUUGGAGCCCAGGAGCCAAACGCCACCUUCGACGACGACUCCUACUACACCGGAGGUGCCUACUACUACGUGAUGCCCGCUGACGAUGACCAGGAGUAGUUUAGGAGGAUCCCAGGCAGGAGGCCUGCGCCUCUUUCGAUCUGUAUCUCAGUUUGUGCUAGCCAUCUUAUGGCAACGUGUUUAACUUAUGUCUGUACUCAGAUAUUGUUGCUUCCGCUGACUCGUCUAUGAUCAAGCUCUUGUAUUCGAGCUCUCGAGGCCCCUGGCUUGUACUAUGAUGCUUGUAUGACUUAUUUUACUUGUAGAGUUGUGUUGUGAUAUCUUCCCGUGAGUCCCUGAUCUCGAUCGUACACGUUUGCAUGUAUGAUUAGUGUACGAUUAAAUCGGGGGCGUCACAAGUUGGUAUCAGAGCCGACUGCCUGUAGGAAUCCCCCUUCCACACUUCUUGGCCGAAGUCGAGUCUAGACAUUGCAAAACUUUUACUAACAUGGCUGUGUGCCUUACGGGCCCACGUCGCCAUCUGGGUGGUAUUAGGAUCUUUUACUCCUCGAUCCUUAUUCUGGGACUCUGAACUCUCUCCUACUCGGGUUAAACGAUUUUAGUAACUCUAACACUAGGAUCCCGUGACCAUGUUCACCCCAAAGUUGGAUAAGCCCUAGUUAUUCUUUAGAGUAGUAUUUGAACAUUAUCCACAUUGUCAUUUGACUCCUGUGAAAACAUCCUUGUUUUCAGAUGGAACCCACGAGGCAGGUCGUGCGCCACACGACGACCAUUGGUGCCUCAGGAUCACCUGCUGUGUUGGUUGAGAUGAUGACCUAUCUGGGUUAUCGCUGGCACCCUGAGUACACCGUCUAUGAGGAGUAUCAGGACUUCAACCAAAGUACCGUGCCAUCGUCCACCUCUACUCUCGGGAGUAUGACUCCACUACCGUGCUGCACACUGCUCAUGGUGUUGGAGUGACCAUCGACAUGGCGGUCCACGAUGCUGCUUAUGCUGCUCUGACACGUCUUCGCGGAGAGUAUCAGGAGUUGGACACCUCCCCCUUCAGGCACAUUGCUAUCGCAUCUGAUGUUGGUGCGGAGGGAUACUACACUGCUGCCUACUCCACCGUCACCCGAGAGCCCUUCUACCAUCAGAACCUGGUUCUGCAUGCUGAUGGGCUGGAUAGAGCUAACCGAGCUCUUCGCCACGAGUUGUACACCACCCGUCAGCACCUGUACCGUGCUCUGACGCUGUUGCACCCCUCUGUCCGAUCUGGUGAUCUGUCGUGUUCUGCGGUCUACCCUGCCAGGACCGUGAUGCCCCAGGGCGUCGGCUGGCCAGAUGUGGAAGGCUACUCUCCUACACUUGGUCCUCUCCUGCCACCUGUGCAUCGGGUUCCGCACCAGAGUAUCCGCGGACCCCAGGCUACUCGCGUGGAGGUCUUCCCUUCGCGUCACUACCAGCUGUCGGGCUACACCUACCUCCGCAGUACCGCAUGGGACUGACGUAGACUUGCUUAUUAGGGUUAGAUGCAUUCGCCGCAAGCCUGUGUGCCGCCUAUGAUGUCUUAGCCUAUGUACUGAACACUGUGUAACGAACUCUAUGCAUGAUCUCUUUUGUAAGGUAUGCCGACUACUAUGUAGUAACCAUCGUGCUGCUAUCGUUGUGCAUGUUUCAUCAUGAAUGACUCUUGUUUUUUGCAAAUUUCUCAAUGCUGAACUACCCCUGUUAAAUAUUAGCAGGAUGGUUAGACCAGGUGGUCGUGGUCGUGGUGGCGACGCCCCACCACCGCCUGAGUACAUGGCUGGUAUGAUCCAACAGCUUGAGAUGAAUCGCCAGUUCAUGGAGAAUGUGAUGGCUCAGUUUCCUCGCCCCAAUAUGAACCAGCAGCCAACCCCAGUAACUCUGCAGGAUUUCGUGCGCCUGAACCCAACUGUGUACCGCAGCUCAACUCAGCCUCUGGAUGCUGAUGACUGGCUCCAUGACAUCACCUAUGAGAUGGAGUCUGCUGAUGUAGCCCCUGCCAGCUAUGUCACCUUUGCUUCCUUCUUCCUGAAGGGACCCGCAGCUCAAUGGUGGGACAGCCACAGGCGUACACUGCCAGCUGGAACAAUCAUCACCUGGCCAGACUUCCAAGCUGCCUUCCGUACUCGCUUCAUUCCUCAGGGAGUCAUGGACCGGAAGAAGCGUGAGUUCCGCAAGCUCACCCAAGGCAACAAAACUGUGGAAGCUUACCAGCGGGAGUUUCUUGACUUGUCCCGCUAUGCUGAAGAAGACAUUGCAACUGAUGCACGCAGACAAGAGAAGUUCCGGGAUGGCCUUCAAGCUGACAUCAAGCUCGCACUUCUAGUGCAUGACUUUGCUGAUUUCGCCACUCUGGUGAACAAAGCCAUCAAUGUCGAAACUGGUCUGCAGGAAUACCAGAGCUCUCACAGGCGCAACCGUGACACGGGCUCAUCUUCGGGCCCGUCCUCGCAGAAGCGCAAGAUAUGGAUUCCCAAUAGCUUGUACCAGCCGGAUGCACCUACCCCAAGGCAGACCUAUGCUGCACCUCGUCUGCCUGCUCCUCCGACUAGGCAGCCAAGACUCCCAGCUCCACCACCACAAGCUCCUGUUCCCACUCCCAAUAAUGGAUUGUGCUUCAGGUGUGGACAACCAGGGCAUCGUGCUAGGGAAUGCAACCAGAACCAGAAUCAAUUGGCCCUUCCAGCAACUGGCCGUGGAAGCAACCAACCCUGCAUCAAUAAUGCCAAGUCUUAUGGUCGUGUUCAUGCCAACCACGUUGAUCUGAGCGAAGCUCAAGACCAGCCUGCUACUGUGAUGGGUACCCUCCUCGUAAAUUCAGUACCAGCAUCCGUUUUAUUUGAUACAGGUGCAUCGCAUUCAUUCAUGUCAGAAGGUUUUGCAUGCUUGCACGACAUUAAAUGUGAGGACAUGAAUGCUUCACUAUUAGUACACACCCCUGCGGGCCAAUGUCGAACCUCCAUGAUUUGCAACGACGUCCCUGUAGAAAUCGAAGGACUGGAAUUCCUUGUCUCUCCCAUCGUACUGAAGUCCUGUAGCAUUGAUCUCAUUCUGGGAAUGAAUUGGUUAAAAGCGCAUACUGCUUCUAUAGUUUGCGCCACUAAGGUCGUCCAUCUGCUACACCCUUCUGAUGAAAUAAUAGCUUACCAAGCUCAUCUAGUUCAGAACGCCGAGGCACGACUUUAUGCCUUGAAUGCGUUGAACGCUGCACCACUCGAGGGCAUUGAAAACAUUCCCGUCGUUCGUGAAUUCCAAGAUGUCUUCCCAGAAGAACUUCCAGGGAUUCCCCCUGCUAGAGCUGUCGAAUUCAUCAUCGACUUGAAACCCGGCACUACCCCUAUAGCUAAACGACCCUACAAGAUGCCGCCGCAUGAACUCUUUGAGCUUAAGGAGGAAAUCGACAAAUCUCUUGUCAAAGGUUUCAUUCGCCCAAGUUGCUCUCCUUGGGGAGCACCAUCUCUCUUUGUUAAGAAGAAGGAUGGGACAAACCGAUUAGUCCAAGACUACCGUCCUAUAAACCAAGCUACCAUUCAGAAUAAAUAUCCUUUUCCCCGGAUCAAUGAUCUUUAUGAUCAACUGGCUAGCUCAUCAGUGUUCUCCAGACUCGACUUGAGGUUGGGUUACCACCAGAUCCGUGUUCGUGAAGAGGACAUCCCCAAAACCGCCUUCGUGACUCGGUAUGGAUCAUACGAGUACACCGUCAUGUCAUUCAGCUUAACGAAUGCUCCAGCCACCUUCUCUCGUCUGAUGAAUUAUAUAUUCAUGGAUUACCUCGACAAUUUCGUCGUGGUUUAUUUGGACGAUAUCCUUGUAUUUUCCAAGAACAAGGAGGAACAUGCUGAACAUCUUCGUCUUGUGCUGGAAAAGCUUCGGGAGCAUCAGCUGUAUGCUAAGUAUUCCAAGUGUGAAUUCUGGCUCCCCGAAGUAACCUAUCUUGGGCAUGUCAUCUCCAAAGAUGGUAUUGCCGUCAACCCUGAACGAGUUCAGGCUAUUCUCGAUUGGACUCCUCCGAAGAAUGUGAAGCAAGUCCGAAGUUUUCUCGGUCUCGCCAGCUAUUGCUGUCGAUUCGUCGAGAACUUCUCCAAGAUUGCCAGGCCUCUGACUAAUUUGUUGCAUAAGGGUGUCAAGUUUGACUGGACAGACAAGUGUCAGGAAAGUUUCCAGGCACUCAAAGACAAGUUGACUUCUGCCCCCGUGCUUGCACCACCUGAUACUAAGAAGGACUUCGUCAUUUACUGCGAUGCUUCCCGUCAAGGAUUAGGCUGUGUCCUAAUGCAGGAGCGUAGAGUGAUUGCUUAUGCCUCUCGUCAACUGUGCCCUCACGAAGAAAACUACCCAGUUCACGACCUCGAGCUUGCUGCUGUCAUUCAUGCACUGAAGCAGUGGCGACAUUACCUUCUCGGUAAUUGUUGUGAGAUCUUCACUGACCAUCAAAGUCUGAAGUAUUUGUUUACUUAGCCAGAUCUGAACCUCCGUCAGCAGAGAUGGAUGGAGACUGUUGCAGACUUUGAUGUGGGUAUAUCCUAUACCCCCGGCAAGGCUAAUGUAAUGGCUGAUGCCUUGAGCUGCAAGUCUUACUGCAACCACCUCCAGGUUCAUAAAGUUCAGCCCUCGCUUGUCGAAGAAUUUAGAAAGCUGAACCUCCAUAUUGUUCCUCCUAGAGCACUCGCUCCCCCUCCCCCGGAGUUCCACAAGAUGAAUCUUCUUGUUGUUACUAAGGGUUCUCUAAAUACCCUGGCUGUCGUACCAGAUCUCGUAGCUGGUAUAAAGACUAUUCAAGGUUAUGACUCUGAAGUCCAUAAGAUUAAACGCCAUCUAGCAGAAGGAAAGCCCUCAUUCUUCACUAUCGCCGACGAUGGCGCCUUGUAUUUCAAAGGCCGCCUAGUGGUACCAUGUUCGAAGAAAAACCUGGAUAAGACUAAAAGGGUUAUGCAAGAAGCUCAUGAUACGCCUCUGCCCAUCCAUCCUGGUAGUACAAAGAUGUACUAGGAUAUUCGUCAAAGAUUCUGGUGGUCUAAUAUGAAGCAGGACAUUGCUCGUUAUGUUGCUGAGUGUGACGUAUGUCGCCGUAUCAAAGCAGAGCAUCAGAGGCCUGCUGGAACUCUGCAACCUAUCUCUAUUCCUGAAUGGAAAUGGGACCAUGUUGAAAUGGACUUCAUCACUGGAUUUCCCAAAUCGCAGAAAGGUAAUGAUGCUAUUCUUGUCGUCAUUGACCGGCUUUCUAAAGUUGCACAUUUUCUGGCGGUCAAAGAGACAAUCACUCCUAGUCAGCUUGCUACUCUCUACAUGGCCAGAAUUGUUUCACUUCACGGUAUUCCACUGGUUAUCAGUUCAGACCGUGGCAGCUUAUUCACUUCAAGGUUUUGGGCAAGUUUCCAAGAAGCUAUGGGGACUCACUUAUCUUUCAGUACUGCGUUUCAUCCGCAGUCACAAGGGCAAGUUGAACGUGUCAACCAAGUUCUCGAAGACAUGCUUCGAGCUUGUGUAAUCUCAUUCGGCAAGAAAUGGGAGGAAUCUCUUCCAUAUGCCGAGUUCUCUUAUAAUAAUAGCUAUCAAGCUAGUCUGAAGAUGCCCCCCUUCGAAGUGCUAUAUGGACGAAAGUGUCGAACCCCUCUGAACUGGUCAGAAACUGGGGAACGUCCACUCUUUGGUCCGGAUAUUAUCCAACAGACCGAAGAACAAGUUCGCAUUAUUCGCGAGAAUCUCAAGGCUACUCAGUCACGUCAGAAAAGUCAGUAUGACCGUCAUCACCAAGACAUGGUCUAUCAACCUGGAGAAAAGGCUUAUCUUCGAGUUACACCAAUGAAGGGUGCUCACCGCUUCGGGAUCAAGGGCAAGCUAGCUCCUCGCUAUAUCGGUCCCUUCAAUAUUCUCGAAAGGCAUGGAAAGGUGGCAUAUCAACUGGAGCUUCCGCCGAACCUUUCUCAGGUUCACGAUGUGUUCCAUGUGUCACAACUCCGCCGUUGCUUCAAGGAUCCAAUCCGACCGGUGGAUCAUGAAGUGCUUGAGUUGCAACAAGACCUCUCCUAUAAAGAGCAUCCGGUCUGCAUUCUCGACCAAGCUGAACGCCGCACCCGUCAGAAGGCGAUCAAGUUCCUCAAGGUCCAGUGGUCGAAUCACUCUGAAGACGAAGCCACCUGGGAACGUGAGGAUCGUCUUCGCGAUGAAUACCCUGCACUGUUUCCUUCUACCUCCUAAAUCCCGGGACGAGAUUUCUUGUAGUGGAGGAGAUUUGUAACGCCCGGAUAAUCAUGCUACAGUGAUCUCACGUUAAUGGUGACACGUCACCUCUGUCACUGUAAUUAAUCUUGGGUUAAUUCAAAACCGUUUCAAAUUUAAAUCCUAAAUAGGUCAAAUGACAAAAGUUCUCAAAUAUUAAAAUAAAAUGUUCGGGCUAUGUCUAGUAUUGCAUCGGUAAUUAUGGUGAAGUAAACACCUUUUUAUAAAAUGCCUAAAUACUUUUAGAUGAAUUAAACAGGAAAGAAAUAAUAAAAGAAAAUACAAAAGGGGAAAACAAAAAAAAAA
rnacentral:lncRNA from 1 species